rnacentral:rRNA from 1 species
UACGUAGGUCCCGAGCGUUGUCCGGAUUUAUUGGGCAUAAAGCGAGCGCAGGUGGUUUAUUAAGUCUGGUGUAAAAGGCAGUGGCUCAACCAUUGUAUGCAUUGGAAACUGGUAGACUUGAGUGCAGGAGAGGAGAGUGGAAUUCCAUGUGUAGCGGUGAAAUGCGUAGAUAUAUGGAGGAACACCAGUGGCGAAGGCGGCUUCCUGGUCUGCAACUGACACUGAGGCGCGAAAGCGUGGGGAGCAAACAGG